UAGGGGACAUUUCUUACACACUUUGUCGACAAGCACGUAACGACCCAAGGGAUUUGACACCCGAAUUACGAACUCAGUAGACUCAAUAGGUAAAUUCUUACUGGAUGCUAAGGUUUCACAUAUGUAAGAAUGAGUAGAACCGGGGUCAAUCAAAGCAAUUACAUUAGUAUCAAAGAGAGUAAAAGUACCGGUAAUAACAUCAGGCGAAGAAGCAUCCUCGCGGGCACGUAUAGCAUAAGCUCUAGCAGGCGCGCGAG
rnacentral:lncRNA from 1 species